GUCUGUCUAGCGUUUGGCUGAUCUGAAAUGAUGGGCAGAAUCGUUAAGCCAAUCACCGCAAGGUUACGUUUGUUGUCAGGGUGAAGCACGGCCCGCCUUUUCCGGUGGGUGGGACCGGAAGUGACGACAGAGGGAUGAUACGCUCUGGGAAUGUUGAUAUUUUCCAGUGAGUGUGUUCUGAGUUCCAGAUGGGAUCCUUCAGGAAGCUAGUUGUACGGUUCGCGAGGCUGACCAUUUCGUUUAUAGUACCGAUGCCUGUGGGUUAGAACCUUGGAGGAAAUAAAGAACAGAACGGAACCGACGAGGAAAGCUGGGAGCACGGCUACAAACUUUGAAAUUUGAGACGGAGGACACGAGAGAGCGAGCGCUCAUCCCUGAUUGGCUCGUGCGUGUUGUCAAGGCUUUACGCAGCUUCUUCAAUUGGUUGAUGUGUGCAGUUGUGACCGCGGCGACGAUUUUGCCCACGUACUUCCGAAAAAGAGGCCGGGUUGUGCCCCGCUGCGCGUGCGCACAGCCCGGGAGGCCCCACCCGGUAGUUCAAGAACCUGUGUAGGGGCGGGGCGAAGAGGUGCUUGUUUUGGUUGUGUUUCCUUUGAAGCUGAAUCCCGGAACAAGGCCUCGCCGUUCCCAUCGUGCUUCGCGCACAACAGUAGCCCCCUCAUCCGGGUUCUCUCCCGGCGUUCUCCGCGUCUGGUUUGCUGUGGGGUACUUGGCGGUGCCGCCAUGACUAU